rnacentral:rRNA from 1 species
UACGUAGGGGGCAAGCGUUAUCCGGAAUUACUGGGUGUAAAGGGUGAGUAGGCGGCAUGGUAAGCCAGAUGUGAAAGCCUUGGGCUUAACCCGAGGAUUGCAUUUGGAACUAUCAAGCUAGAGUACAGGAGAGGAAAGCGGAAUUCCUAGUGUAGCGGUGAAAUGCGUAGAUAUUAGGAAGAACACCAGUGGCGAAGGCGGCUUUCAGGACUGAAACUGACGCUGAGGCACGAAAGCGUGGGGAGCGAACAGG